AUGAACACAAUAAACUACUCCUUCCGCCCCAUAAUAGAAGAUGUUUGUAUGUUAUGGGACAAAGGGAGUAUAGAUUACAACCAGCUCAGGUUACUGAAGCAACUGUAGAUAUUCAGUUACAGGCAUACAGCCUCUGCAAGUAGCUCAAUGAGAUUAACAAAUUGGGUACAAAUAACACAUUCCAGUAAUACAGUAAGGUUCAUAGUCCAAUUAACCGAAUCGACGCCUACAAUGCUAAUUUACUAAUGCUACAGUUAAUACAAGUUCAACAGGGUUCAAAAAAGAACUAAUGCAGGUUUCUGGGUCGGGAGAACCAACAAUAGUCGAUGGCAUCUCAGCACAUCCAAUUUGGAGAUAACCCGGAAACUCCAAGAAUACCAAGCACCUUGUGAGGUGUUGAUGACAAUAUCAGGUGGUACGGGAUUAUUUCCCACUCCUUGUCACCCUUCGGAACAUGUCUUUUAUGUUCUUUGAUCCUACCUCAGGCUUCAGUUUCUUUGCAGGUCUCCCUUUGCUUGAUUUGGCACUGCCAUUUCCUACGCCCCCCUGUAUUGACGCAUUUCACAAGCUUAGAGAACAUGGUGUGAGCGUUGAAAAAGGAUCAAGCAUUCUCAAGGAGUUUACCUCCGAGGGACAAGCUGGAGCAGGUACCGGAGAACUAUCAGCACAAAAUGACGUGUCAUUGGUUUUGGCCAUAUCAUUGAUCUCAUUGAUAUCUAAUCUGCAGUGGAGUGGAUUGUGCUAGCAUGAGAUAAAU
rnacentral:lncRNA from 1 species